AUGGAAGACAACUGGUUAGUUUGGAAUGUCAGGGGUUUGAACAACCCAGCUAGGAGAGCCGUGGUUAAGAAGUUGGUGUAUCGCAACAAUGUAUCCCUAGUUUGUUUGCAAGAGACAAAGCUAUCAUUCAUCGAUAGAGCUAUGGUGGCCCAAUGCUGUGGCAAUGAUUUCUUGGAGUUUGCAUACCUGCCCACGGAGGGCUCCAGAGGAGGCAUACUUCUGGCUUGGAAAGGGAACCAUUACUCCCUACCCGGUGUCACCAUUCUCACGCACGUCGUGGCUGUGACUGGGUGCAACGCCAAGGGAGAGCAGUUUGGGAUCAUUGGUGUAUAUGGUCCGCAGCGCUGA
rnacentral:rRNA from 1 species